AGGCCGACAGGCGUAGGCGAUGGAUAACAGGUUGAUAUUCCUGUACCACCUAUAAUCGUUUUAAUCGAUGGGGGGACGCAGUAGGAUAGGCGAAGCGUGCGAUUGGAUUGCACGUCUAAGCAGUAAGGCUGAGUAUUAGGCAAAUCCGGUACUCGUUAAGGCUGAGCUGUGAUGGGGAGAAGACAUUGUGUCUUCGAGUCGUUGAUUUCACACUGCCGAGAAAAGCCUCUAGAUAGAAAAUAGGUGCCCGUACCGCAAACCGACACAGGUAGUCAAGAUGAGAAUUCUAAGGUGAGCGAGCGAACUCUCGUUAAGGAACUCGGCAAAAUGACCCCGUAACUUCGGGAGAAGGGGUGCUCUUUAGGGUUAACGCCCAGAAGAGCCGCAGUGAAUAGGCCCAAGCGACUGUUUAUCAAAAACACAGGUCUCUGCUAAACCGUAAGGUGAUGUAUAGGGGCUGACGCCUGCCCGGUGCUGGAAGGUUAAGAGGAGUGGUUAGCUUCUGCGAAGCUACGAAUCGAAGCCCCAGUAAACGGCGGCCGUAACUAUAACGGUCCUAAGGUAGCGAAAUUCCUUGUCGGGUAAGUUCCGACCCGCACGAAAGGCGUAACGAUUUGGGCACUGUCUCAACGAGAGACUCGGUGAAAUCAUAGUACCUGUGAAGAUGCAGGUUACCCGCGACAGGACGGAAAGACCCCGUGGAGCUUUACUGUAGCCUGAUAUUGAAAUUCGGCACAGCUUGUACAGGAUAGGUAGGAGCCUUUGAAACGUGAGCGCUAGCUUACGUGGAGGCGCUGGUGGGAUACUACCCUAGCUGUGUUGGCUUUCUAACCCGCACCACUUAUCGUGGUGGGAGACAGUGUCAGGCGGGCAGUUUGACUGGGGCGGUCGCCUCCUAAAAGGUAACGGAGGCGCUCAAAGGUUCCCUCAGAAUGGUUGGAAAUCAUUCAUAGAGUGUAAAGGCAUAAGGGAGCUUGACUGCGAGACCUACAAGUCGAGCAGGGUCGAAAGACGGACUUAGUGAUCCGGUGGUUCCGCAUGGAAGGGCCAUCGCUCAACGGAUAAAAGCUACCCCGGGGAUAACAGGCUUAUCUCCCCCAAGAGUUCACAUCGACGGGGAGGUUUGGCACCUCGAUGUCGGCUCAUCGCAUCCUGGGGCUGUAGUCGGUCCCAAGGGUUGGGCUGUUCGCCCAUUAAAGCGGUACGCGAGCUGGGUUCAGAACGUCGUGAGACAGUUCGGUCCCUAUCCGUCGUGGGCGUAGGAAAUUUGAGAGGAGCUGUCCUUAGUACGAGAGGACCGGGAUGGACAUACCUCUGGUGUACCAGUUGUCGUGCCAACGGCAUAGCUGGGUAGCUAUGUGUGGACGGGAUAAGUGCUGAAAGCAUCUAAGCAUGAAGCCCCCCUCAAGAUGAGAUUUCCCAACUUCGGUUAUAAGAUCCCUCAAAGAUGAUGAGGUUAAUAGGUUCGAGGUGGAAGCAUGGUGACAUGUGGAGCUGACGAAUACUAAUCGAUCGAAGACUUAAUCAA
rnacentral:rRNA from 1 species